rnacentral:rRNA from 1 species
AGAGUUUGAUCCUGGCUCAGAGCGAACGCUGGCGGCAGGCUUAACACAUGCAAGUCGAGCGCACGUAGCAAUACGUGAGCGGCAGACGGGAGAGUAACACGUGGGAACGUACCUUUCGGUUCGGAAUAACUCAGGGAAACUUGAGCUAAUACCGAAUACGUCCGCAAGGAGAAAGAUUUAUCGCCGGAAGAUCGGCCCGC